UACGAGUGCCCCCAAGCGUUAUCCGGAAUCAUUGGGCGUAAAGGGUGUGUAGGUGGCGAUGUUAGUCUUCUGUUAAAACCCCGGGCUUAACCCGGGAUCUGCAGGGGAAACGGCAUUGCUUGAGGGUGCGAGGGGUGAAUGGAACUCAUGGAGUAGGGGUGAAAUCCGUUGAUAUCAUGGGGAACACCAAAAGCGAAGGCAAU
rnacentral:rRNA from 1 species